rnacentral:rRNA from 1 species
UACGGAGGGUGCGAGCGUUGUCCGGAAUCACUGGGCGUAAAGGGCGCGUAGGCGGCGCGGCAAGUCUGUGGUGAAAGCCCGAGGCUCAACUUCGGGUCGGCCAUGGAUACUGCUGCGCUCGAGCACUGUAGAGGCAGGUGGAAUUCCGGGUGUAGCGGUGGAAUGCGUAGAGAUCCGGAAGAACACCGGUGGCGAAGGCGGCCUGCUGGGCAGUAGCUGACGCUGAGGCGCGACAGCGUGGGGGAGCAAACAGG